rnacentral:rRNA from 1 species
AAUGAACGUUGGCGGCGUGGAUUAGGCAUGCAAGUCGAGCGAGAACCCGCAAGGGGGACAGCGGCAAACGGGGUAGUAAUGUGUCGGAACGUGCCCUCUGGACGGGGAUAGCGGCGGGAAACUGCCGGUAAUACCCGAUGAUCUCGAGAGAGCAAAGAGGUGAUUCCGCCGGAGGAGCGGCCGACAUGGUAUUAGCUAGUUGGCGGGGGUAACGGCCCACCAAGGCUGUGAUGCCUAGGGGAUGUGAGAGCAUGAUCCCCACCAUUGGGACUGAGACACUGCCCAGACACCUACGGGUGGCUGCAGUCGAGAAUCUUCGUCAAUGGGCGAAAGCCUGAACGAGCGACGCCGCGUGCGGGAUGAAGGCCCUUGGGUUGUAAACCGCUGUCGAGGGGGAUGAAGGCUUGAAGGUACUCCUUCAAGUUUGACAGAGCCCUGGAGGAAGCACGGGCUAAGUUCGUGCCAGCAGCCGCCGUAAAAC